UGGAGAACAAGCAAUCAUAAUUAAUGCAUCAAAUAUAUAACACAAGUGCCACUUUCUAGCAUAUGAAAAGCAAAAUUAAAUAUGUAUAACUACUUAUUUGGUUGCACUAAUGUGAAUACCAACAUUAUGUACCUUAUGUCAAUUGACACAUUUUCAGUUAGCCAACAGUUUUUGACAUUUUUAAAAGUAAGUCUUUUGGUGAACUAUCUAUU